ACGAAAAUCGGUAGAAAAGUUGCCCUUGCCUCGUUCGUUUGCAUUCCCGCGAAUACUCCCCUCCAUUGCUUACCUUGUGUUCCUGUUUCUUUACCCUGACUUCACACUCCCCUCCUGUUAGGCUGCAAGUCUCCUCCCCUCUUUUCCUCUCUUUCCCUUCUCCUAUCCCCGUCCUUUCUUCCUUCCUUCCUCGGUGGAGUGCCAGUCUCUUUCGGCAUCGCGGUGUGCGCGCAUUAUUUCUCGUGUACAGCGCUGGACACGUCGUGGACGCACUCUUCACUCUGGCAUAGAUAAUUCAUGUAAUUCGAAUAUGAAGAAACGAUCGCCCCUUCGAGCACUUGCGAGAGAAACAUCGUCCGAGACAUCUGGUGGCCGUCCUGUAAACCACUCUGAUGUAUGGAAUUAGAAGAGAACUAGAGAAGGGGAUUUGGGAGAAGGAGCAAGUGGUCGAAGGAGCAAUCGGCGUUGGGGCGGAGUCUGACGGUCGUCACACCUCCCCUCCCCCGAUCCUACAUCUCAGGACGUCCCCCCGGCGAUAUUCCACUGCUGUCACCAGUUUUGUCACGUUCCGGGAGGAGUGCAGUUCGACGGCCGUCAUAGUAGGAAGAUCAACCGUCUUUUAUUCAGAAGGAUUAACCAGAGAAAUGGACGUAUUUGCGUUGUUGCGGUAACAGUGUUUAUUCGUGGCGUCGAUGAUUCGUACUUGGAAUUCUGCAACUUCUCACCGGUAACGUGACACUUACCGACGGAGUAGAUAUUAAUUCGUUUGUUUCACGUCACGUGCGAUUCACGCGGGUGCGACAAUAGGCUGGUGUAUACCGAGAGUAAAAAAGCGUACGGUCGUGCGCGUGCGUUCGUUUCGGGUACGGUUCACGGUGUGAAUUUUUUUUUUGAACGCGGGCAAGGCCUAGCGUGGGAUAUUGGACGGUGAUAAACAUCGAGAGCGAACCGUCCUUUCCUCUUUCCUAAUUGUAUUUUGGCAGCGUGUGGUUCCCUGCGGGGGUGUCUCUUGUGUCGUGGGCAACCGCUUUGCGGUAAAACAAUCAAAAUUCGGGUGAAGAACAGAGAACCGUUACCAUCCUACGCGAUGGAAAUGAGCGACGAAUAUCAGGACAUGGGAAACCCUGGGGGAGGGGUCGCGGUGGUCAAUAUACCGAUGGCCCAUCAUCAGCAUUCGCCCGAUAGUCCGCUGGUGAGUGUUUUCAUAUUUUUCUUUUUUUCUUUCUUAUUUAUGAUCCAACGUUUUCUUCGUUCUU